AUUAAGCCAUGCAUGUCUAAACGCAUACUGUAUUAAGGCGAAACUGCGAAUGGCUCAUAAAAUCAGUUAUGAACUGUGGCAAUUCUAGAGCGAAUACAUGCAGCAGAACCCCGACCCUCUGGGAACGAGCGCCUUUAUUAGACCAAAACCAAUCGGACCUCGUGUCCGCAUUAUGUGGUGACUCUGUAUAACUUUGGGCUGAUCGCACGGACUCGUCCCGGUGAGUGUGUCACCGGGAUUAUAUGUAUGUUUCAAGUGUCUGCUUUAUCAACUGUCGAUGGUAGAUUAUGCUCCUAUUAUGGUCGUAACGGGGGACGGGGAAUCAGGUUUCGAUUCCGGGAACACGUCUCCAUGGGCC
rnacentral:ncRNA from 1 species